rnacentral:rRNA from 1 species
UACGUAGGGUGCAAGCGUUAUCCGGAAUUAUUGGGCGUAAAGAGCUCGUAGGCGGUCGUUCAAGUCGCGUGUGAAAGCCCCCCGGCUCAACUGGGGAGGGUCACGCGAUACUGAUCGACUCGAAGGCAGGAGAGGGAAGUGGAAUUCCCGGUGUAGUGGUGAAAUGCGUAGAUAUCGGGAGGAAUACCAGUGGCGAAGGCGGCCUUCUGGACGGAUACUGACGCUGAGGCGCGAAAGCCAGGGGAGCAAAGCGGG